rnacentral:rRNA from 1 species
AAUGAACGCUGGCGGCAUGCCUAACACAUGCAAGUCGAACGACAGCACGGGUGCUUGCCCCUGGUGGCGAGUGGCGAACGGGUGAGUAAUACAUCGGAACAUGUCAUGUAGAGGGGGGGAGUCCGGUGAAAGCAGGAUUAAUACCGCCUACGAACUACGGGUGCAAGCGGGGGCCCUUCUGGCAUCGGGUUUUAGGGUUGGUCGAAGGCUGAUUAGCUAGUCGGUGGGGUAAAGGCUUACCAAGGCUACGACCAGUAGCUGAUGUGUGAGCGAGACCCGCCACACGGGCACUGAGACACGUCCCAGACUCCUACGGGAGGCAGCAGUGGGGAAUUUUGCACAAUGGGCGAAAGCCUGAUCCAGCAAUGCCGCGUGAGUGAAGAAGGCCUUCGGCUUGUAAAGCACUGUUGUCCGGAAAGAAAUCCUUCGCACUAAUCCGGUCUGGUGAUGACGGUACCGGAAGAAUAAGCACCGGCUAACUACGUG